rnacentral:rRNA from 1 species
GUGGGGAAUAUUGGGCAAUGGGGGAAACCCUGACCCAGCGACGCCGCGUGAGUGAAGAAGGGUUUCGGCUCGUAAAGCUCUGUUGUCGGGGACGAAUGUGCAGUAUUUGAAUAAAGUAGUGCAAUGACGGUACCUGACGAGGAAGCCACGGCUAACUACGUGCCAGCAGCCGCGGUAAUACGUAGGUGGCAAGCGUUGUCCGGAAUUAUUGGGCGUAAAGGGAGCGCAGGCGGGAAGGUAAGUCGGUCUUAAAAGUGCGGGGCUCAACCCCGUGAUGGGAUCGAAACUAUCUUUCUUGAGUGCAGGAGAGGAAAGUGGAAUUCCUAGUGUAGCGGUGAAAUGCGUAGAUAUUAGGAGGAACACCAGUGGCGAAGGCGACUUUCUGGACUGUAACUGACGCUGAGGCUCGAAAGCCAGGGGAGCGAACGGGAUUAGAAACCCGGGUAGUCC